UUACUUAAAUGACAGGAAGGUUUCCACUUAUGAAUACGGGCUCCUGAGGGACAGCUGAGAAGCUUUUCUUAUGCACAACGCUGAAAGGUCUUGUCUUGAUUUUUCUGGUAUCUUUUCAGGUGAGUCCCAGUCCCAGAGGAGCCUGCAGUGUGUGAAGUGUGAGGGUAUGUUGUGUCCUCAGGUUUCAGAAGCAGAUUUUCAGUCAAUAGACAGAAGUUUUCCAAACAGGCCGAUUCUCCUCAAAGCUCCUAUUUCUCAGAAUGUUCCCUACACAUUAAGCAAACUCAUCUGUUACAUCACAAAUAAAUGCAGGUGAUUUUCAUGUGUACUAUAUAGCCUUUUUACUGGGCUUGUGGAAUCACUGUGCCAUCUAAUGGCUACAGCAUCUCUCUAGUACCAAGCUUUCUAUUUUACUGGGCUAUUCCGGUUGCCUAUGAUUUUAAAUAACAGAGGAAUUAGUGUAUUGGAAACUUGAAUUUAUUGUAAGUGGCAGCCCCUGCUAGCCCCUUCUGUUGCUAGCUACUUUCACUGAGUAUUUGCUAUGCUGCUUUCCGACCAAUUUGUUAGUUGUCUGACUAUUGCUAUGUUCAUAUUGUUGUUUCUCUGAAGCUUGAGCUCUUCUGGGGUUCAGUGAUGUACAAGAUUAUAUAGACACCCCUUCCAAUAAAACAGGCGCUUCCUGCUUGGGGUAUUCUUCUUUCCCAAAGGGUAUGUGAACAGAAUAUUAUUGGAGACUCAUUUUCUUGCAUUUCUCUGCUUCCUAUUCCUCAUCAGUGGAAGACCAUUUCCCUAAUUUUAGGGAGAAUCCUUGCAGACAAUCCUUGGCACAAAGAAGAGAUGCAGAUAAGAUACGAUUGCAGACAGAUUAUGAGUUUUGGGUCUUAACCUACUGCCAGUGGAGCCAAUAAUGAAAGUUCAGCUGACUUCAACCCUACAGACUCAUAUCCUGCAAGAUCAACACAGGAAAAAAAUAAUGCAUGAAGAGAUGCAGGUUUUCCUGGGUGCUCUUUGAAAUAGAUAUACAAUAUAUUUUAAAAUGUAAUUUUAAUCCUAGACUUACACAUUUGGACUAGAUGAAAAAAGCAGAUUAUAUGGAGAGUUCUUGCAUUGUUAAAAUAGAAAGUGGAUUUUCAUUUAGGGAUUCAACUCUGAAAUACUUAUUUUUCUUAUUACUGUGAAAUUUUCACAUCUGUUCAGUGUCCUCCCAGCCUCCCCUUAUAUUCAUGUGUAUCUGCUGACCUCUCAUUCAAGAGCUGAUACAGCAAUGCUGAAUUUAGGGGCAUGUUUCUAAUGUUUAAAAUUUGUGGAUCUUUCAGCAUAAUUUGGGAUAUAUAGACAAAGAGUAGUAUUAUUGGUAUGUGUUACAUACCAAAUGUACUCAAAAGCUUAAAGGUCUUUUCCAACCUAAAUGAUUCUAAGAUUCCAUGAAAUGCUGGUAUCUAGUAAGUAAUUAAAAGAUUACUUUCUUAAGCAGAAAUCCUUUGUACAUACAAUAAUUUUUUGUUUUCUUAACAAAAUAUAUUCACUUAAUGUCCUUAGUAUAGGUAAAGUCUUUGCAGAGCAGAUGGAGCAGUGGGGUUUUUCCUCUCCCUAACUCUCUAUUUAAAGUUUCCCAUCCCCUCUACAAUAUAUUUGUUCCUCCAGAAAUAGCCUUUGAGUUCACACAAGCCCAGCUACAUGAUAUCGAGGUUGGGAUGUGGGCUCUGGUAAGCCAAAGGGAAAACCGAGAUGAAAGUGCAUUGCAAAACCUCCUGUCUUGAAAUUCUGACUUGAAAUUAUCAAAACCACAGGACUUGGUAGAAGCCAGUACAGAAGCUCAGCUGCUGACAUAAUUCACUUCCUUUGAGAUUAUGGAGAUCAGAAGUAUCCUAACCUCUACCACCUUUCCCCACAUCCCCAAACAAUAUAUAGUACAGAAUACCAGCAUUUUCAGCAAGGUGAAAUAGGCCUGAAUAAAAAGACAAACCACUUACUAAGUAAGCAAUCACAGGCUGAACUACCCCUGAACACUGUGAAUGAUGAAAUUCGGUCAUGUGAAAGGCCUCAAAGACCUGAGCCCUUAGAGGUCUGGGUAAGAUUUUCAUCUUAGAUUUCUGAGGCUAAUGUAGUUUCUAAGUUCCUUUCCCAUGACUUUUCUAUUUCAGAUGUUAUCUAAGCAUACGUGGCAUACUUUCCCAUUCAGAUCUAGGGGCACAGAGUUCAUUAAUUGGUGUCUUAUAUUUUAGCUACACAGCAUGCUUAUGAAUUGUCACGGCUACUUUUUAAGCACUUGGGGAUAUUGUGGGAGGGAAAGUUCUUGGUGGGGAGUGUUGGGAAAGUUGCUUUUGUUAGAUAUGGACGUCUGCCAGUAGCUCGACUUUAAAAGUAGUGCUGACAGAAAUUUUCAGUUGUUGAAAGGCUUUUGCAUCCUCCUUUUUUGGUGUAAUUUAGCUUAUUAAAAAAAAAGUAUUAAAAUUGAUUAUUACUUUUUAUAAAUUCCCAUAAACGAUUUUGAGAUCUUAAACUUUCUUCUAUUGGAAGAGAAAUCUCUCUUUCUGACCCUUGAGGUGUAAAGAUAGCUAUAUCCAGUUGUGAGCAAAACUGGUCAAAAUGAGAAAUUUCCUUAAGACUUUUAUGAUUGCUUAUACUAAACAUGAUUUUUUUUCCAUUUGAAUAUAAUUAUACCAUGCAAUUACAUGGAUUUUUGCCUUCAAGUAAGGUGCCUCCUUCAACACUAGGGCAUAACGUAUUUUGAGAUUAUGCUUUCCUUACAGUGCUCAUUUUUGUCUGCAUUAAACUUAAGCAUAUCACGUUCAAAGUUGGUAAGGUGGUGGUUAAAUUAGGUGUUAAAUUCCAAGCAUCACGUUUACAAAGUACUUAAUACUGUUUGUAAACAGAAGGGCACAGAGCAGAACAAUAGAAUGUCAUUGUAUGAUCGCUGUGUCUCUGGUUUCCCCAUGUGCUAGUAUAACUCAAACUGUAAUAAGGUGAUAUUUACUUGCAGGAGGGGCAUAGAAGGGGUAUUUCAGUUUCAGCUCACUGUUGUUGUUCUGAAUAUUCAUUAUGUGUAUUAGAGAAGCACUUAACAGUUCACACAGUCUUACAGUGU